GCCAGGUGCAGUGGCACACGCCUGUAAUCCCAGCAGCUCAGGAGGCUGAGUCAGGAGGAUCAUGAGUUCAAAGCCAGCCUCAGCAAUAGCUGAGGCACUUAGCAAUUCAGUGAGACCUUGUAUCUA
rnacentral:sRNA from 1 species